rnacentral:rRNA from 1 species
UACAGAGGUCUCAAGCGUUGUUCGGAUUCAUUGGGCGUAAAGGGUGCGUAGGCGGCGCGGUAAGUCGGGUGUGAAAUCUCGGAGCUUAACUCCGAAACUGCAUUCGAUACUGCCGUGCUUGGAGGACUGGAGAGGAGACUGGAAUUACGGUGUAGCGGUGAAAUGCGUAGAUAUCGUAAGGAAGACCGAGUGGACGAAGC